GAUGAACGCUGGCGGCGUGCCUAAUACAUGCAAGUCGAGCGAACGGACGCGAAGCUUGCUGGUCUGACGUUAGCGGCGGACGGGUGAGUAACACGUGGAUAACCUACCUAUAAGACUGGGAUAACUUCGGGAAACCGGAUCUAAUACCGGAUAAGAUCUUGAACCGCAUGGUUCAAAAGUGAAAGACGGUCUUGCUGUCACUUAUAGCUGGAUCCGCGCUGCAUUAGCUAGUUGGUAAGGUAACGGCUUACCAAGGCAACGAUGCGUAGCCGACCUGAGAGGGGGAUAGGCCACACUGGAACUGAGCCACGGACCAGACUCCUACGGGAGGCAGCAGUAGGGAAUCUUACGCAAUGGGCGAAAGCCUGACGGAGCAACGCCGCGUGAGUGAUGAAGGUCUUCGGAUCGUAAAACUCUGUUAUUAGGGAAGAACAGAUGUGGAAGUAAAUGUGCACAGCUUGACGGUACCGAAUCAGAAAGCCACGGCUAACUACGUG
rnacentral:rRNA from 1 species